AGCGAACGCUGGCGGCAGGCCUAAUACAUGCAAGUCGAGCGGUUCCUUCGGGAACAGCGGCGGACGGGUGAGUAACGCGUGGGAACGUGCCCUUUGGUACGGAACAACUGAGGGAAACUUCAGCUAAUACCGUAUGUGCCAUUCGGGGGGAAAGAUUUAUCGCCAUUGGAGCGGCCCGCGUUAGAUUAGCUAGUUGGUGG
rnacentral:rRNA from 1 species